rnacentral:rRNA from 1 species
AGGCCUGAGAGGGUGGCCUGCCAUACUGGGAUUGAGAUACGGCCCAGACUCCUACGGGAGGCAGCAAAUCGGAAUAAUCCACAAUGGGAGAAAUCCUGAUGGUGCGACGCCGCGUGAGCGAUGACGGCUUUCGGGUUGUAAAGCUCUGUGUUAUGGGAAGAAAAUCUGGUGGACUAAUAAUCCUCCGGCCUGACGUACCAUAAUAGAAAGCCCCGGCUAACUACGUGCCAGCAGCCGCGGUAAUACGUAGGGGGCAAGCGUUGUUCGGAAUCACUGGGCGUAAAGGGCGUACAGGCGGCUAUGUAAGUCGGAUGUGAAAUCCUCGGGCUUAACCCGAGAUCUGCACUCGAUACUGCAUGGCUUGAGAUCAGGAGAGGAGAGUGGAAUAUGUGGUGUAGCGGUGAAAUGCGUAGAUAUCACAUAGAACACCGGUGGCGAAGGCGGCUCUCUGGCCUGAUUCUGACGCUGACGCGCGAAAGCUAGGGUAGCGAACGGGAUUAGAUACCCCGGUAGUCCUAGCCGUAAACGAUGGGUACUAAGUGUAGAAGGUCAUUGACCCCUUCUGUGCUGUAGCUAACGCAUUAAGUACCCCGCCUGGGGACUACGGCCGCAAGGCUAAAACUCAAAGUAAUUGACGGGGGCCCGCACAAGCGGUGGAGCAUGUCGCUUAAUUCGAAGCAACGCGAAGAACCUUAUCCAGUGGCUUGACAUCCUCUGACAACCGUGGAAACACGGCUUUCCCUUCGGGGACAGAGUGACAGGUGCUGCAUGGCAGUCGUCAGCUCGUGUCGUGAGAUGUUGGGUUAAGUCCCGCAACGAGCGCAACCCCUGUCUCUAGUUGCCAGCGCGUAAUGGCGGGGACUCUAGAGAGACUGCCGGCGAUAAGCCGGAGGAAGGUGGGGAUGACGUCAUGUCCUCAUGGCCCUUAUGCCCUGGGCUGCACACGUGCUACAAUGGUCGGUACAGAGGGUCGUGAAACCGCGAGGUGGAACCAAUCCCUUAAAGCCGGUCUCAGUUGGGAUUGUAGUCUGCAACUCGACUACAUGAACGUGGAAUCGCUAGUAAUCGCGAAUCAGCAGGUCGCGGUGAAUACGUUCCCGGGCCUUGUACACACCGCCCGUCACACCACGAAAGUCGUUGGCAUUCGAAGCCUGUGAGCUAACCCUUCGGGGAGGCAGCAGUCGAAAGUGAAACCGAUGAUUGGGGUGAAGUCGUAACAAGGUA